GUACUUAACGUUUUGUGACUGAACUAUAACUCUCUGGCACUUUCACUUCCAUCAUGUAAAUCAUUGUAUAGAUUUUACAAUU